UACGGGGGGGGCAAGCGUUGUUCGGAAUUACUGGGCGUAAAGGGCUCGUAGGUGGCCAACUAAGUCAGACGUGAAAUCCCUCGGCUUAACCGGGGAACUGCGUCUGAUACUGGAUGGCUUGAGUGUGGGAGAGGGAUGCGGAAUUCCAGGUGUAGCGGUGAAAUGCGUAGAUAUCUGGAGGAACACCGGUGGCGAAGGCGGCAUCCUGGACCACGACUGACGCUGAGUGAGCGAAAGCGUGGGGAGCAAACAGG
rnacentral:rRNA from 1 species